AGAAAACGAGGGCCCCUUUGGAACCAUGAGGACGUUUCUUCUAAGAACCCCAGCAUCAAGAGUGCUGACCAACUCACCACGUUCCUGAAGCACGUGGUUUCUGUCUUCAAGCAGUCGAAUGCAGAGGGAAUACACUUGGAGCGUCAUCUCAGCGAGGUUGCCCUGCAGACGGCCCUUUCUUGUUCUUCUCGACACUAUGCUGGGAGAUCCUUCCAGAUUUUCAGGGCACUGAAGCAGCCCCUGUCUGCAAAUACACUCUCCGAUGUCCUCUCCAGGCUUGUGGAAACCGUAGGGGACCCAGGGGAGGACGCACAGG
rnacentral:lncRNA from 1 species